rnacentral:rRNA from 1 species
GACAGAGGGUGCAAACGUUGUUCGGAAUUACUGGGCGUAAAGCGCGUGUAGGCGGCCCUGCAAGUCGGGUGUGAAAUCCCACGGCUCAACCGUGGAAGUGCACUCGAAACUGCAGGGCUAGAGUCCUGGAGAGGAAGGUGGAAUGCUUGGUGUAGAGGUGAAAUUCGUAGAUAUUAGGAAGAACACCAGUGGCGAAGGCGGCUCACUGGCCCGGUACUGACGCUGAGGCGCGAAAGCGUGGGGAGCAAACAGG